rnacentral:rRNA from 1 species
ACUUUACAAUGCGGGAAACCGUGAUAAGGGGACACCGAGUGCUAGCAUCAUAUGCUAGCUGUCCAGGCGUGUAAACUACGCCUGUUAGCAAGGGCCGGGCAAGACCGGUGCCAGCCGCCGCGGUAAUACCCGCGGCCCGAGUGGUGGUCGAUAUUAUUGAGCCUAAAACGUCCGUAGCCGGUCUUGUAAAUCCUUGGGUAAAUCGACCAGC